GGGGAAGUAGCUCAGUGGAUAGAGCAGCGGUCUUCUAAACCGAAGGUCGUGGGUUCGACUCCCAUCUUCCCCGCCA
rnacentral:tRNA from 1 species